GGGGGGGGAGGCACUCUUCGCAUUUAUCUAUAUAACCUACAGUCAGAAACCCUCAAAAUCCACUCAAGAACACUCGAAACCACUCAAAACCAAGACAGACCCUACCAAAACCACCCAAAACCUAACCAAACCACUCAAAAAAAUCUCAGAAACACUCAAAAACCACUCAAGAACACUCAAAACCAAGACCAACCCGACCAAAACCACCCAAUACCUAACCAAACCACUCAAAAACAGACCAGAAACACUCAAAACCAAGACCAAACCGACCAAAACCACCCAAAACCUAACCAAACCAACACUCUUCGCAUUUAUCUAUAUAACCUAACUCUAACCCAAACCACUCAAAAUAAUCUCAGAAACACUCAAAAACCACUCAAGAACACUCAAAACCAAGACCAACCCGACCAAAACCACCCAAAACCUAACCAAACCAAUCAAAAACAGCCAGAAACACUCAAAACCAAGACCAACCCGACCAAAACCACCCAAAACCUAACCAAACCACUCAAAGAACACUCAGAAACACUCAAAAACCACUCAAAACCACUCAAGAACACUAAAAACCAACACCAAACCACUCAAAAAACACUAAGUCCAACCCAUUUGACUAAGUCACAACCAGCCACAUAGAGAAACUCGACUCUAGGGCUGGAACUAAGAAACUCAACCAUAGCCCUAGCACACCAAAACUCAAGUAAUGGAGCAGUACCAUAUCUCGACGCCUGGUGGCGCUAGAGAGACGGCAUUCGAAAGCCCACUCCCUAAUUAGUAUACCCACCAAGUUUCAGCACUCUAGGACUUAUGGUACCCGAGAUAAGGAGGGGGAGGCACUUCGGGGGGAGGCACUCUUCGCAUUUAUCUAUAUAACCUAACCCCUAACUCAAAACCAAGACAGACCCUACCAAAACCACCCAAAACCGAACCAAACCAGCUGUAUAGAGAAACUGAACACUAGCCCUAGCACACUGAAACUUAACCCUAGGGCUGGAACUGUGAAACUCAACCCUAGCCCUAGAACUGCGAAACUCAAGUAAGUGAUCAAUGCUAUAUCUCGGCACCUGGUGGAGCUAGAGUGAUGAAACAAAGUGCAAUCGACUGGGCAUCAUCCAAUUAGUAUACACACCAAUAUAUUAGUAUAUAUUUCAGCUCUCUAGGUACAACAGAACUGAACGAUCAAUACCAUAUCUCAGCACCUGGUGGCGCUAGAGCAACAAAACCAAGGGUAAUCGACUGGGGGGGCCCCAAGGAGUAUAAUAAACCAAGUUUGAGCACUCUAGCACGUACGGGUCACGAGAUAUGGGGGGGUCGACCACUUCAUAAGUGACCACUCUUCGCAUUUAUCUAUAUAACCUAACUCUAACCCUAACCCUAACCCUAAACCCUAACCCUAACCUAACCCUAACCUAACCCUAAGUCCAACCCACACAAAACACUAAGUCCAAACAAUAUGACUAAGUCCAAACCAGCUUAUAUGACUAAGUCAAACCCACCCAAAACACUAAGUCCGACCAAUAUGACUAAGUCCCAUCCAGCCAAAAACACUAAGUCAAACCAAUAUGAUUAAGUCCCAACUAGCCACAUAUGACUUAGACAAACUCACCCAAAACACUAAAUAAAAACUAUAUGACUAAGUUCCAACCCAUAUGACUAAGUCCCAACCAACACACCCAAAACAAAACAUUAAGUCCAACCUACACAUAUAAAUACACCGCCUCCAAAAAAAAAAAAAAAAAAAAAAAAAAAAACAAGCUGUAUAGAGAAACUCAACCCUAGGGCUGAUCAGCUGUAUAGAGAAACUGAACACUAGCCCUAGCACACUGAAACUCAACCCUAGGGCUGGAACUGACCAACCCAACAACAAACAUAACGCCAACUACACAUAAUAAUACACCGCCUACCAAAAAAAAAAAAAAAAAAAAACCAAAGCUGUAUAGAGAAACUCAACCCUAGAGCUGAUCAGCUGUAUAGAGAAACUGAACACUAGCCCUAGCACACUGAAACUCAACCCAAUUUCUGCAUAGAGGACCCAUUUUUUUCUAUUGUACAUUCUAAAAAGUAAUGACUCAUUCAGUUUUAGACAGUA
rnacentral:lncRNA from 1 species